GAGAGAUUUGUUGUUGUUUUUAACUGUAAUGAUGUGCUGUUUAAGUGGAACAGGUGCUGGGCUCUAGCUGUUUGUGUUUAAACCUGCCAAAUCACACUCUUUUUGUUGGUUGGGUUGUUUAAGUAAUUUAGGAACCAGACUGUGGCCCCUGGCUUGCCAAGAGUGAGUUCAAGGUUCCAUCUCACUGCUGCAGAUCCCUGUCUCCACUGUGACAGGCAGAGAAAUCUUAAGAGAGCAAGAAGGCUGGAUAUUUUUAAGGUUUAGUGCUACAGUUGAACCACUGCUUGAAUUGCCAGCAAAUU
rnacentral:lncRNA from 1 species